rnacentral:rRNA from 1 species
AACGCGAAGAACCUUACCUACCCUUGACAUGUACGGAACCCUCCAGAGAUGGAGGGGUGCCCGAAAGGGAGCCGUAACACAGGUGCUGCAUGGCUGUCGUCAGCUCGUGUCGUGAGAUGUUGGGUUAAGUCCCGCAACGAGCGCAACCCUUGCCAUUAGUUGCUACAUUCAGUUGGGCACUCUAAUGGGACUGCCGGUGACAAACCGGAGGAAGGUGGGGAUGACGUCAAGUCCACAUGGCCCUUAUGGGUAGGGCUUCACACGUAAUACAAUGGCCGGUACAGAGGGCUGCCAACCCGCGAGGGGGCGCAAAUCCCAGAAAGCCGGUCGUAGUCCGGAUUGCAGUCUGCAACUCGAGUGCAUGAAGUUGGAAUCGCUAGUAAUCGAGGAUCAGCAUGCCUCGGUGAAUACGUUCCCGGGUCUUGUACACACCG